UGUAUUAAAAAAUAUAUAGCACAAAUUACAUAAAUACCCUCAACAAAUUUAUUUAGGAAAUGUAAAAUAAGGGCAAAAUUGGCAUUUUACACUUGCACCAUUUUGGUGCAAAAUGGUGCAAAGUUUGGUGUUGGGUUGGAGCAAUUUUGCACCAAAAAAUGGUGCAAAAUGGUGCAAUGGUGUUGUGGUUGGAGAUGGCCUAA
rnacentral:lncRNA from 1 species